UACGAAGGGAGCUAGCGUUGUUCGGAAUCACUGGGCGUAAAGCGCACGUAGGCGGAUGUGUCAGUCAGGGGUGAAAUCCCGGAGCUCAACUUCGGAACUGCCUUUGAUACUGAGAAGCUUGAGUCCGGGAGAGGUGAGUGGAACUGCGAGUGUAGAGGUGAAAUUCGUAGAUAUUCGCAAGAACACCAGUGGCGAAGGCGGCUCACUGGGCCGGACCUGACGCUGAGGCGCGAAAGCGUGGGGAGCGAUCCGG
rnacentral:rRNA from 1 species